GUGCUGCUCACUGACGCUGUUCAUUGGUUAAGCUGACAUGUGGUUCCUGCUUGAUCCAAAACACACCCGCGGCUUUAGAGUACACCGUUGAGGAGUUUUGCAGAGCCCAAAUGAAGAGAAAAGGGAAUAUCUCCCAUUUCUUCUUAAAGAGGCAAAAACCAGGACCAGACAGAACCCUGCAGCAGUGACCAACCUGGAGAAGCCAGCCAGGAGACACCAGGCCCAAGUGUAUCACCAGCAGUUCCAGAGAGAGAUGAGGGUGAUAUAGAUUCAGAGUCAGACUCUGGGGAGGAAGACAGUGAAGCAGAAGGAAAUGGCACUGAACUCCCCCCACCCAGCACAACCUAUUGCACACCAAAAGGACCAGUUGACAUCUCAAGAACUAAAGCGGAAGGUCCAGCUCAGCCAUGUCUGACAAAGUUCCCAAGAACUCAGCAUGGAACAAGAACAAGGGCUUUCAACAGCUCCUGGUACAAAGACAAUCCAUGGCUUGAGUACUCUGUAUCUCAAAAUGCCAGUUACUGUUUUGCAUGCAGGCAUUUCUCCCUCCCUAGUUAUACAGAAUCAUCCUUCACAUCUGAAGCAGGGUUUUCAACUGGAAAAAAGCCUUGUUUAAGGAUGCUGGGUUUAAAGUUCAUUCAAAAUCAGAGCAGCACAUAAAUGCAAUGUAUGACAAAGAAGAGGUUACGCUAGGGACACUCAAGAACUAGUAGUGCGCUGCAAAAUCAGCACCCUGCCACUCAGCAAGAGACAGCCUAAGGCCAGUUCUAGGUUUUUGGACUCACUGGUAAUGACUACUGUAGGACAGAGGCACAGUGACCAAAGUAAUGAGGAUUUUAACAGAGGUGUCUUUUAUCAGAUACUUGACUGUCUCACAGCUGAACUUGAGAGGCAUUUUUCACAGAAGUAUUGUGAGAUAAUGCUAGGGGUUCAGUCUCUAGUCCCAAAAAGCCCAUUAUUCUUGAACGAGGAAACACCGUAUGCUUUUGGACAGACAUUUGAGUCAGAUCUAGAAGAUCUUAAACAUGAGGUUCACCAAACCAGACGGCUUCUUCUGAGGAGAGAAAAAGUGGGUUAGAGAGACCCUCUACUUUACUUGACUUUGUUGUGUUCCUGGAACCUUAUAAAGAGGUUUUUCAUG